UUUUUUUUUUUUUCCACGUCUUUACAAGUUUUGGAUCUUUCCUGGACCGUAAGCGCAGGCGGUCAGUGUCAUCCUCAGUCAGUCAGGCAGCACGUGAACGUGAGCACAGCCUGUGAAAAACUGGGCUCUGGAAUGCAGCUUUUCCACAAAACCCACAUUGAUAAAUCUGCUCUGCACCCUGUCGAU